AGCAACAAAUGCCCUGCUUCCAGGAAAAGCCUCUAAGCCUCAGGUAACAUCAAAUCGUACCCCAAACCGACACAGGUGGUCAGGUAGAGAAUACCAAGGCGCUUGAGAGAACUCGGGUGAAGGAACUAGGCAAAAUGGUGCCGUAACUUCGGGAGAAGGCACGCUGACACGUAGGUGAAGUGGUUUACCCAUGGAGCUGAAGUCAGUCGAAGAUACCAGCUGGCUGCAACUGUUUAUUAAAAACACAGCACUGUGCAAACACGAAAGUGGACGUAUACGGUGUGACGCCUGCCCGGUGCCGGAAGGUUAAUUGAUGGGGUCAGCGCAAGCGAAGCUCCUGAUCGAAGCCCCGGUAAACGGCGGCCGUAACUAUAACGGUCCUAAGGUAGCGAAAUUCCUUGUCGGGUAAGUUCCGACCUGCACGAAUGGCGUAAUGAUGGCCAGGCUGUCUCCACCCGGGACUCAGUGAAAUUGAACUCGCUGUGAAGAUGCAGUGUACCCGCGGCAAGACGGAAAGACCCCGUGAACCUUUACUAUAGCUUGACACUGAACACUGGUCCUUGAUGUGCAGGAUAGGUGGGAGGCUUUGAAGUGUGGACGCCAGUCUGCAUGGAGCCGACCUUGAAAUACCACCCUUUAAUGGCUGGUGUUCUAACGUGGGCCCGUGAACCGGGUUGCGGACAGUGUCUGGUGGGUAGUUUGACUGGGGCGGUCUCCUCCUAAAGAGUAACGGAGGAGCACGAAGGUUGGCUAAUCCUGGUCGGACAUCAGGAGGUUAGUGCAAUGGCAUAAGCCAGCUUGACUGCGAGCGUGACGGCGCGAGCAGGUGCGAAAGCAGGUCAUAGUGAUCCGGUGGUUCUGAAUGGAAGGGCCAUCGCUCAACGGAUAAAAGGUACUCCGGGGAUAACAGGCUGAUACCGCCCAAGAGUUCAUAUCGACGGCGGUGUUUGGCACCUCGAUGUCGGCUCAUCACAUCCUGGGGCUGAAGUAGGUCCCAAGGGUAUGGCUGUUCGCCAUUUAAAGUGGUACGCGAGCUGGGUUUAGAACGUCGUGAGACAGUUCGGUCCCUAUCUGCCGUGGGCGCUGGAAGAUUGAGGGGGGCUGCUCCUAGUACGAGAGGACCGGAGUGGACGCAUCACUGGUGUUCGGGUUGUCAUGCCAAUGGCACUGCCCGGUAGCUACAUGCGGAAGAGAUAAGUGCUGAAAGCAUCUAAGCACGAAACUUGCCCCGAGAUGAAUCUUCCCUGAGCCUUUAAGGCUCCUGAAGGAACGUUGAAGACGACGACGUUGAUAGGCCGGGUGUGUAAGCGCAGCGAUGCGUUGAGCUAACCGGUACUAAUGAACCGUGAGGCUUAACCUUACAAC
rnacentral:rRNA from 1 species